UACAGAGGGUGCGAGCGUUGUUCGGAAUUAUUGGGCGUAAAGGGCGCGUAGGCGGCGCCACAAGUCACCUGUGAAAACUCUGGGCUCAACCCAGAGCCUGCAGGCGAAACUGUGGUGCUGGAGUAUGGGAGAGGUGCGUGGAAUUCCCGGUGUAGCGGUGAAAUGCGCAGAUAUCAGGAAGAACACCCGUGGCUAAGGCGGCUCUCUAGUACGGUACUGACGCUGAGACGCGAAAGCGUGGGGAGCGAACAGG
rnacentral:rRNA from 1 species